rnacentral:rRNA from 1 species
UACGUAGGGGGCAAGCGUUGUCCGGAAUUACUGGGUGUAAAGGGCGUGUAGGCGGGUAUGCAAGUCAGAUGUGAAAUUCCUCUGCUCAACGGAGGCGCUGCAUCUGAAACUGUAUAUCUUGAGUGCUGGAGAGGAAAGCGGAAUUCCUAGUGUAGCGGUGAAAUGCGUAGAUAUUAGGAGGAACACCAGUGGCGAAGGCGGCUUUCUGGACAGUAACUGACGCUGAGGCGCGAAAGCGUGGGGAGCAAACAGG